rnacentral:rRNA from 1 species
CGCGUAGGCGGCGGGAUAAGUCAGAUGUGAAAGCCCCGGGCUCAACCUGGGAAUUGCAUUUGAUACUGUCUGGCUAGAGUCUGGUAGAGGGGGUGGAAUUCCAGGUGUAGCGGUGAAAUGCGUAGAGAUCUGGAGGAACACCAGUGGCGAAGGCGACCCCCUGGACCAAGACUGACGCUGAGGUGCGAAAGCGUGGGAGCAAACA